rnacentral:lncRNA from 1 species
AGGGUCUUAGCUUGGUUUCCAGUGGGCCAUCCAAAAUGUUGAUUCCAAAUGAUAAUUCUGUGUGGAUAUUUUAAUGGUUUUGUUUCUUUUUUCUUUUUUUUUUUUUUUUUUUCACUUUCUUUGUCCAGAAGGAUAACUGUUUCCAUACCUGAAUAAAUUAGUGGGACAGUGUGGAUUGCAAUGGUCUUAUAUUUUUCCACAGCUUAACAAAAAGAUCCAAGCUCUGCUACCAGAUGAAAAUGAACUUGUUUCUAAAUAUACUCCCUCCUGGACAUCUGGUAUGAUUAUAGUCCCUGUCUUGGCAAAUGCAUUUGCAGUGGACCAGGGAUGGUGUGUGUUUAUAAAGACACCUGAAAAACAAAGCUUUUUUGGAAGCUGGAGCUUGCUGGGGAGACAAGAAGUGGGCCACUUCUGUUUGGAGAAGAGUGCAAUGACUUCGAGAGCUUCAUGGCUGUUCUGCAGACAGAUGCACAAUUGUGAAACAUCAAUAUGGACUGCAAAUCUCUACUGUCAGUCAGCUCCUCUUCCCCUCUGCAUAACGUAAUCCCUAUCUCCACAAUGCCUGCACAGAUACACAUUUGCAAAGAUGUUUUUCUGGAGAUAGCGUGCAUAGCAAACACUCCCUUACUUGUUCUCAUCUCUAGCAACAUUAUACGGAGUUUCAGUUCACAGUUCCCUGUGUUCCCCCUCCUACCACUGAAAUGCAGCCAACUCUGAGCUGCGGCUAUUAAACAUCACACAAGCAACACCACAAAACAGAUUGUGGAAAGCACAGGAAUUCAAAGAAAAGCAACAAAUUGAGUGAGGUCUGGGAAGUGAUAAUAAAGGAUCAUAAGGAAAUGAAUUACUCA